rnacentral:rRNA from 1 species
GAUGAACGCUGGCGGCGUGCCUAAUACAUGCGAGUCGAGCGAACAGACGAGGAGCUUGCUCCUUUGACGUUAGCGGCGGACGGGUGAGUAACACGUGGGUAACCUACCUAUAAGACUGGGAUAACUUCGGGAAACCGGAGCUAAUACCGGAUAAUAUUUUGAACCGCAUGGUUCGAUAGUGAAAGAUGGUUUUGCUAUCACUUAUAGAUGGACCCGCGCCGCAUUAGCUAGUUGGUAAGGUAACGGCUUACCAAGGCAACGAUGCGUAGCCGACCUGAGAGGGUGAUCGGCCACACUGGAACUGAGACACGGUCCAGACUCCUACGGGAGGCAGCAGUAGGGAAUCUUCCGCAAUGGGCGAAAGCCUGACGGAGCAACGCCGCGUGAGUGAUGAAGGUCUUCGGAUCGUAAAACUCUGUUAUUAGGGAAGAACAAAUGUGUAAGUAACUGUGCACGUCUUGACGGUACCUAAUCAGAAAGCCACGGCUAACUACGUG